GAAAGAUACUUCAGAAUCAGAAAAAGAUGGUUCCAUUCUUUACAAAGGACCAUGAAAUACAGGAGCACACUAUGGAAAGAAAAUUUAAUUGAGCUUCCUAUGGAGUCAUCAUUCACAAGUCACCUAAAAGCCAGCAGCCUGGUUACUGGAAAGCAAGAAUUUUGUUUCCAUAACUUGUGGUAACUCAUCAGGACAACCCCACGUACAGCACAUUGCAACAUCCAAGGAGACAAGACUGAAGGAUAGAAGACAUUGGCCAGAUCUGUCUUCUCCAAACACAGAACAGUACACGGUUCUCAUUAUAAA